CGGGUGAGUAACGCGUGGAUAAUCUACCCUUAAGAUGGGGAUAACGGCUGGAAACGGUCGCUAAUACCGAAUACGCUCCCGAUUUUAUCAUUGGGGGAAAGGAUGGCCUCUGCUUGCAAGCUAUCGCUUAAGGAUGAGUCCGCGUCCCAUUAGCUAGUUGGCGGGGUAACGGCCCACCAAGGCAACGAUGGGUAGCCGGUCUGAGAGGAUGACCGGCCACACUGGAACUGGAACACGGUCCAG
rnacentral:rRNA from 1 species